rnacentral:pre_miRNA from 1 species
CCUUAUCACUUUUCCAGCCCAGCUUCUUCACUGUAACUGUUGGACGGAGAACUGAUAAGGGU